rnacentral:rRNA from 1 species
UACGUAGGGUGCGAGCGUUGUCCGGAAUUAUUGGGCGUAAAGAGCUUGUAGGCGGUUUGUCGCGUCUGCCGUGAAAAUCCGGGGCUCAACCCCGGACUUGCGCUGGGUACGGGCAGACUAGAGUGUGGUAGGGGAGACUGGAAUUCCUGGUGUAGCGGUGAAAUGCGCAGAUAUCAGGAGGAACACCGAUGGCGAAGGCAGGUCUCUGGGCCACUACUGACGCUGAGAAGCGAAAGCGUGGGGAGCGAACAGG